AUUCGGUUUUUGAAUUUGAGGUCUUAUCUUUUCUGUUGGCUAUAACUGAAACAUGCCAAUUUGUGUUUUCAAGAAUUUUUGUUUAAGGAAGUAUUGUAUGGAAGUUUACACAAUGAACGAAGUUCAUCUAGACUUGAAUAUGUAAACAAGAUAACACACAAGUGUACCAAGUGAUUAUUAACUUUGUUGUUUAUAAAUUUGUAUGGACCUGGAGUAUCUGUUGCCCACUAAUAUAUAUGUGCAAAUAAAUGUGGC
rnacentral:lncRNA from 1 species